rnacentral:lncRNA from 1 species
UAGAAUAGCAUGCAUGGCAAUUCAAAAAAUAUUACAAUAGCAAUUAAAAUAAACAUAAACUAAAAAAAAAUUAAAAAAAAAAACAAUAAUAAAAUUUUAAAAAAAUUUAUGAAACACCUACGUCAGCAGUCACGAGCGCCAGUGACCGUUGCAAGCUAACUGGUGUGACGAGCGUCACACAAGCCAUCACGGUCGUCACGCAAAUGCACAUGACGCCCGUAACACCUU